UCGGACGGGGGUGAGUAACGCGUGAGAAUCUACCUAUAGGUUCGGGACAACAGUUAGAAAUGACUGCUAAUACCGGAUAUGCCUUCGGGUGAAAGUUUUAAUGCCUGUAGAUGAGCUUGCGUUCGAUUAGCUAGAUGGAGUGGUAAUGGCACACCAUGGCGACGAUCGAUAACUGGUCUGAGAGGAUGACCAGUCACACUGGGACUGAGACACGGACCAGACUCCUACGGGAGGCAGCAGUGGGGAAUUUUCCGCAAUGGGCGAAAGCCUGACGGAGCAAUACCGCGUGAGGGACGAAGGUCUGUGGAUUGUAAACCUCUUUUGUUAGGGAAGAUAAUGACGGUACCUAACGAAUAAGCAUCGGCUAACUCCGUGCCAGCAGCCGCGGUAAGACGGAGGAUGCAAGCGUUAUCCGGAAUUAUUGGGCGUAAAGCGUACGUAGGCUGUUUCAUAAGUCUGUUGUCAAAGCCCGAGGCUCAACCUUGGAAAGGCAAUGGAAACUGUGAGGCUAGAGAGAGAUAGGGGCAGGAGGAAUUCCAGGUGUAGCGGUGAAAUGCGUAGAUAUCUGGAAGAACACCAGUGGCGAAAGCGUCCUGCUGGAUCUCAACUGACGCUGAAGUACGAAAGCUAGGGGAGCGAAUGGGAUUAGAUACCCCAGUAGUCACGCGUUACUC
rnacentral:rRNA from 1 species